rnacentral:rRNA from 1 species
CAGCAGCCGCGGUAAUACGGAGGGUGCAAGCAUUAAUCGGAAUUACUGGGCGUAAAGCGCACGCAGGCGGUCUGACAAGUCAGAUGUGAAAUCCCCGGGCUUAACCUGGGAACUGCAUUUGAAACUGUCAGGCUGGAGUCUUGUAGAGGGGGGUGGAAUUCCAGGUGUAGCGGUGAAAUGCGUAGAGAUCUGGAGGAAUACCGGUGGCGAAGGCGGCCCCCUGGACAAAGACUGACGCUCAGGUGCGAAAGCGUGGGGAGCAAACAGGAUUAGAUACCCCUGUAGUCCCUGUCUCUUAUAC